rnacentral:rRNA from 1 species
CUACGUGCCAGCAGCCGCGGUAAUACGGAGGAUGCGAGCGUUAUCCGGAUUUAUUGGGUUUAAAGGGUGCGUAGGCGGCCUGUUAAGUCAGCGGUGAAAUCUAGGAGCUUAACUCCUAAAUUGCCAUUGAUACUGGCGGGCUUGAGUGUAGAUGAGGUAGGCGGAAUGCGUGGUGUAGCGGUGGAAUGCAUAGAUAUCACGCAGAACUCCGAUUGCGAAGGCAGCUUACUAAGGUACAACUGACGCUGAAGCACGAAAGCGUGGGUAUCAAACAGGAUUAGAUACCCUGGUAGUCCACGCAGUAAACGAUGAUAACUGGGCGUAUGCGAUAUACAGUAUGCUCCUAAGCGAAAGCGUUAAGUUAUCCACCUGGGGAGUACGCCGGCAACGGUGAAACUCAAAGGAAUUGACGGGGGCCCGCACAAGCGGAGGAACAUGUGGUUUAAUUCGAUGAUACGCGAGGAACCUUACCCGGGAUUGAAAUGUAGAUG